UACGGGGGGGAAGGCAGUGUUUGUCGGAAUUACUGGGCGUAAAGGGCUCGUAGGCGGCCAACUAAGUCAGACGUGAAAUCCCUCGGCUUAACCGGGGAACUGCAUCUGAUACUGGAUGGCUUGAGUUCGGGAGAGGGAUGCGGAAUUCCAGGUGUAGCGGUGAAAUGCGUAGAUAUGUGGAGGAACACCGGUGGCGAAGGCGGAUCUCUGGGCCAUUACUGACGCUGAGGAGCGAAAGCGUGGGGAGCGAACAGG
rnacentral:rRNA from 1 species